UACGUAGGUGGCAAGCGUUGUCCGGAUUUAUUGGGCGUAAAGCGCCCGCAGGCGGCUCGGUAAGUUUCAGGUGAAAUCUCCCGGCUCAACUGGGAGGGGUCCUGGAAAACUAUCGGGCUUGAGGCAGGGAGGGGGAUGCGGAAUUCCAGGUGUAGCGGUGAAAUGCGUAGAUAUCUGGAGGAACAUCAGCGGCGAAGGCGGCAUCCUGGCCCUGUCCUGACGCUCAGGGGCGAAAGCGUGGGGAGCAAACCGG
rnacentral:rRNA from 1 species